AACGAACGCUGGCGGCAGGCUUAACACAUGCAAGUCGAGCGCCCCGCAAGGGGAGCGGCUGACGGGUGAGUAACGCGUGGGAAUCUACCCAUCUCUACGGAAUAACGCAUGGAAACGUGUGCUAAUACCGUAUACGUCCUUCGGGAGAAAGAUUUAUCGGAGAUGGAUGAGCCCGCGUUGGAUUAGCUAGUUGGUGGGGUAAAGGCAUACCAAGGCGACGAUCCAUAGCUGGUCUGAGAGGAUGAUCAGCCACACUGGGACUGAGACACGGCCCAGACUCCUACGGGAGGCAGCAGUGGGGAAUAUUGGACAAUGGGCGCAAGCCUGAUCCAGCCAUGCCGCGUGAGUGAUGAAGGCCCUAGGGUUGUAAAGCUCUUUCACCGGUGAAGAUAAUGACGGUAACCGGAGAGGAAGCCCCGGCUAACUUCGUGCCAGCAGCCGCAGUAACAC
rnacentral:rRNA from 1 species